CUGAAACCGCAACGAGAAACAUCAUCAACAUGUGGAGGAAAGCAAAGCAGAAAGAUGAACUUGUUGGAUCUGGAGUUGUGAUGACCUUAUCAAGGCUCUGAGCCAACCUUGGACCACCUGGCCUCCACUUUGCCAUGUCAUGUGAGAUAAUGGCUGUCUUUGUUGUGGCCAACCCCUGGAUCUUGGACCAUUAUUGUGUGCUGCUGAGAUUCCUCUCCCUCCUGCCCUUGUCCUGUCAGAAGCCGCUUUGCUGCAGAAGCCACAGCCAGGAUGUCCCCACAGACUGUGACCUGUUUCCAGAGAAGAAGAUGAAUGGAGUGCUGUGGGACAGCAGAGACAAGGAGGAGAUGGCUCAGGAUGGCUCAGCCCACCAGGGCAGCAGCCCCACUUUUGUUCUCCAAGAGACCUCCCUGUGGGGACUCAAAAGGCCACCAGCUUCUAUCCUCACCACCAACUGCUCCCUGUGCCCAGAGACCUCUGCCUUUCUAAGGACAGGACCAAUCUACUGUGUCUGCUGUGGCCAGAAGGAGGCAAUGGCUGUGGUGAAGUCGAGGCCAGAGCAUCCCAGACCUCCAGCAUAGAGACGAGAUCGCAUGGGCCACUUCUGUAAGACACGGGAUGGGUGGUGAGUGACUCUGCUGCCCUUCAUUGUCCAGAAUCCUUAACACCUGAAGCUUCUCCUUCUCUAGCACCCCUGCCUCAUGCCUUCCCCCAGGCAUCACAGCUCUGACGCCAGGGAUCCCACACAUUUUCCAGAUACCCUGAGUCUGGCCAAGAGACACAGGAGGAGCUGGCUGAGGAGAUCAAGGGCCCCCUCUGGUGGGCAGGAAGAACUCCCUCUCACCUGGGGUCCUCCAGGCAUUUUCACUUCUUCCAGCAGGAGCAAGCAGUCCUAAAAAACUCCACGUUGACUCAGCCCCUCCUCUCUAACAGCCCUUCCCACUAGGGACACAGGGUGCUUCUCUCUGGCUCACCUCCCUUCCUCACCAAUCUGCCAGAUUGUUCUAGACCUAACCAGGUCUUCAUUCUUUAAUAUAUUUAUCUACUACAUGCAAAGGCCUUAACUUGGUCACCAUUUUACAGUGAAGGAUCCUGUUGUCAUCUCAGAACCCUGCACCAGGUGCCACCUUUAGCAUUUUGGAGUUGUACCAUUUUGUUUCUGAAUCUUGCAGGCUAGCUAGAUUUGCAAGAAAGAAAGAAAGACCUCAAGUUUCAAGAUAUUUCAGGACCAUGAUAUUUAGGGGAGAGAGGGUGGAAAGUAUCCUCCAUAAAAAUAAAGUUGACCCCUUACGAUGUUUUCCUCAGAGAGCAAAGUGUGCUUCUCAACCGGCUCCUUACGGUGCCAUCCUGGGGCCUGCUCAGGGACUGUGAGCAAGGUGUCUGGAAUUAGACUCCCUUGGACUCAAACCACACCCAGUCUCUUGCCCUCCUUCUGCUUCCUCAUCUGUAAUCUUCAUUUUGUUCUUGCACAGGUCAAGAGAUAAGAGCAUGCUAGAGCACUUAGCCUAGCUCCUGGCAUAGCUUUAGCACCUCAGCCAUGUUGUCUGUCAUGGCAAUGGCGAUUAUCAUUAAUUAUACUUAUCAUUCAUAAUCUUAUUUUGUAUUCAAGAGGAGAAAGCAAGCUCCUGUUAGCUUCUAUUUCACAUAGAAUAAAGCUGAGGUUCAGGAAAGCUAGGUGACAGUAUGGCAAACAGUGCAUGCUGCACUAUUGCCCCCCACUUGAUUGUCCCAAAGAGUGGCUCUCUCCUGCAACAGGAGUUCAGAGGACACUGAGGUCAGUACUGUGCAAGGUGUAAAGCCGCAUGAUGAUCAAAGACUUUCCUGGGUGCCAUUUGCUUCCCCAAGCCCCGGCCCUAGGACAUGCUCCUUUUUCCCUUUGACACUAAGAACCCCCAGAGUCUUUCCUUCUUCUUGGAGGAACCACAUUCCCAGUCACCACCCCAUGAGAAAUACAGGGUUGGUCCCACCCCAAGAGCCAGUCUUGAGUCUUUUCCCUCUGCAACAGCAGGAAAAACUGACCCUGAUGUCAGCUUUGCCCACAGCAGGGGCCCCAAUCCAGUGCCCCCGCCUUUACUCUACCUUGCCUCAGGGUCUUGAGCAGAGAUCUCCCCAGCCAUGUCCCUGGGCCUAUGAUAUACCUUGAGAGGGUGCAAGUGGCGGAGUCCACGCAGGAAGGGUGGCCAGGCAGGGCUGGGCAGCUCAUGGCCAAGAGUGCGGGUGAGAUGAGCAAUGUAGCUGGUGGCCA